GAUAAACGCUGGCGGCGUGCUUAACACAUGCAAGUCGAACGAAGUUUUUCUUUCGGGAGGAACUUAGUGGCGGACGGGUGAGUAGCGCGUGGGUAACCUGCCCUGUACAGGGGGACAACAGCUGGAAACGGCUGCUAAUACCGCAUAAGCCCUUAGCACUGCAUGGUGCAUAGGGAAAAGGAGCAAUCCGGUACAGGAUGGACCCGCGUCUGAUUAGCCAGUUGGCAGGGUAACGGCCUACCAAAGCGACGAUCAGUAGCCGAUCUGAGAGGAUGUACGGCCACAUUGGGACUGAGACACGGCCCAGACUCCUACGGGAGGCAGCAGUGGGGAAUAUUGCACAAUGGAGGAAACUCUGAUGCAGCGACGCCGCGUGAGUGAAGAAGUAUUUCGGUAUGUAAAGCUCUAUCAGCAGGAAAGAAAAUGACGGUACCUGACUAAGAAGCACCGGCUAAAUACGUG
rnacentral:rRNA from 1 species